CCUACGGGAGGCAGCAGUGGGGAAUAUUGCACAAUGGGGGAAACCCUGAUGCAGCGACGCCGCGUGAGUGAAGAAGUAAUUCGUUACGUAAAGCUCUAUCAGCAGGGAAGAAAAUGACGGUACCUGAGUAAGAAGCCGCGGCUAACUACGUGCCAGCAGCCGGCGCAAUACGUAGGGUGCAAGCGUUAUCCGGAUGUACUGGGGGUAAAGGGAGCGUAGACGGUGCGCCAAGUCUGGAGUGAAAUGCCGCAGCUUAACUGCGGAACUGCUUUGGAAACUGGCGAACUAGAGUGCGGGAGGGGUAAGCGGAAUUCCUAGUGUAGCGGUGAAAUGCGUAGAUAUUAGGCGGAACACCGGUGGCGAAGGCGGCUUACUGGCCCCUAACUGACGUUGAGGCUCGAAAGCGUGGGGAGCAAACAGGAUUAGAUACCCUUGUAGUC
rnacentral:rRNA from 1 species